UGGGGAAUAUUGGACAAUGGACGCAAGUCUGAUCCAGCCAUGCCGCGUGCGGGAAGAAGGCCUUCGGGUUGUAAACCGCUUUUGUCAGGGAAGAAACGAGUUUCUCUAAUACAGAGACUUAAUGACGGUACCUGAAGAAUAAGCACCGGCUAACUACGUGCCAGCAGCCGCGGUAAUACGUAGGGUGCGAGCGUUAAUCGGAAUUACUGGGCGUAAAGCGUGCGCAGGCGGUUAUAUAAGACAGAUGUGAAAUCCCCGGGCUCAACCUGGGAACUGCAUUUGUGACUGCAUGGCUAGAGUGCGGCAGAGGGGGAUGGAAUUCCGCGUGUAGCAGUGAAAUGCGUAGAUAUGCGGAGGAACACCGAUGGCGAAGGCAAUCCCCUGGACCUGUACUGACGCUCAUGCACGAAAGCGUGGGGAGCAAACA
rnacentral:rRNA from 1 species